GGCCUGGCCGCCAUGUUCCAAGGCUAGCGCCCACCCUUCGAGACCAGCUGGCAGGGUCUGCAGUGAGCUUCCAAGGCUUUCUGGGCGUGGGGAUCCUGAGGCAGUUCAGACUUGCGGCACACAAGAGGAUUGUCAUUCUUCGGAUCUUUCUGUGCCUGACAAGCCUCGUCAUUCACUGUCUUUCUCAACAUCUGCACAUCUUCAAACAGAGACCCAAAUGUCUCCAUUGCAGCCAGCAUGCUCACGGUGCUGGGUUGACUAUACACUGUGUACUGGGAUUCACUUUGGCUAGAUUUUCUUUCUGUUUUUUUUUUUGGUACUGGGGAUCGAACUUGGGACCAUGCGCCUGUAAGGGAGGUGGUGGAACCACUGAGCUAAAUCCCCGGCCCUAGAUUUUCUAUUUUAACCUAUGCUUUUUCUUGCUCUUUCACUUUUGGCUUCUCUUUCAGUUUCUCUGCUUUAAACUAUUGGGUGCAGUCAUCAAAGCUCUACCCGGCUUUGGACCCUAUGCUGUGGAGGUUGUGUCAUCUGGAGACUAAAAAUUUUCAGAAAAAUUCAUAAACAAGCUGCAGAUGAGGCCAAACUUUUUCUAAUGUUGGUUCAUCUUCCUUGGGGUCAAAUUCUGCUCCCUUAGGGUUGGAGGAAGGUGAGAAUGUUUGAAACGUGUUAACUGCAAACAUGUGGACUACAUCUGGAUAAAUAGGCUCCGUGAUCACAUUCUAAUUAUGGGUGAUGUAUUCCACCACUUAACUUAAAGCAGCUCAUUUCACUUCCUUCCACUUGAGGUCACUCAGUGAGUCCGAAACAAAGUCAAAGAGGAUAUAAACUUCUGGGUAAAAAGCUUCCCUUGAUCAGCAGGAGGAACAUCUUUCAAAGAUGAUAGCGUUUGCAGUUCUCUAUUAAUACUAGCAUUAAACCGUGAUGAAUUCUGCCAUUUGUCUUUCUUCAACGCUGAGAUUCCACCUCAACCCAGAAAGAAUGGCUGUGGUCUCCUGUGGAUAUGUUCCUCCAAACCUAAGAGAGCAGAAGGUAUGCAUCCCUUGUGAUUGCUGGCCACAGGGUGGUACCUUGAGACAAAUUAGGCUGGGCUCCGGAGGCAGCCCCUGUGCUGGGACCUUUGAGCUGGCAAAUCCUGACGACUCGAUCCUG
rnacentral:lncRNA from 1 species